GCCAUAUACACCGCACGGCAGCCCACUGGGUCGCUGGACGCCAGGUGGUAUCCGGAGAAGAAGUGCUACAAUUGUUCUUGCUGGAACACUUCUAUGAAAGACUGACCACAGGGGUCAGAGAGUGGGUCCAUGACAGAAAACCCAUUACCCUAGCAGCUCGCUUGGCUGAUGAAUAUACUGAUGCCCACAAGCUAGACAACCA